rnacentral:rRNA from 1 species
AUUGAACGCUGGCGGCAUGCCUUACACAUGCAAGUCGAGCGGCAGCGCGGGGGCAACCCUGGCGGCGAGCGGCGAACGGGUGAGUAAUACAUGGAACGUGUCCAGUAGCGGGGGAUAACCUGUCGAAAGAUAGGCUAAUACCGCAUACGACCUACGGGUGAAAGCGGGGGACCGCAAGGCCUCGCACUAUUGGAGCGGCCGAUGUCGGAUUAGCUAGUUGGCGGGGUAACGGCCCACCAAGGCGACGAUCCGUAGCUGGUCUGAGAGGACGACCAGCCACACUGGAACUGAGACACGGUCCAGACUCCUACGGGAGGCAGCAGUGGGGAAUUUUGGACAAUGGGCGCAAGCCUGAUCCAGCCAUGCCGCGUGAGUGAAG